rnacentral:rRNA from 1 species
UGCCAGCCGCCGCGGUAAUACAGAGACCUCAAGCGUUAUCCGGAUUUACUGGGCGUAAAGGGUCCGCAGGCGGUCCUGUAAGUCAUAUGUCAAAUUUUCGGGCUCAACCCGGAAACUGCGUGUGAAACUACAAGACUAGAGACUGGGAGAGGUAUACGGAAUUGCUGGUGUAGCGGUAAAGUGCGUUAAUAUCAGCAAGAACACCACAUGCGAAAGCAGUAUACUGGAACAGUUCUGACGCUCAGGGACGAAAGCGUGGGUAGCGAAUGGGAUUAGAUA